CAAAAACACAACCUUUCUUUCUUCUUCGACAUUGUUCUUCUUCCUGAACUUUCUCUGUCAAUCAAAGCAGAAACUUCAUCUUCUUCGAUGAUGAUAAUUUGGACUUCAAAUUUCUACUCGAAUCCAUGCAAUUCAUGAUGAAGAUGAUGAUUUGAUUGAAUCAAUUUUCGAUUUCAAAGAUGGUAAUGUGACUAAUGUCGAUCUCCACAAAUUUUUUAACGCUGGUAAUGCAAAUGCUGUUCGGAAUCAAUCCAAUUGAUGGUUUUUCAUCUCCUUCGAUUAGAUGUUCGUGAGUUUUAGUUUUCAUCAUGCAAUAACAAGAGCCAUCUAACAAUUUGGAUUUCAUGAUGCUACCUCGCAUAAACUUUAUACCUAUUCCUACUUUUUUAUUUAGGUUUGUACUCUGCGCCCAACUCCUGCAUAUAGUCGUAACUGAAUAGUCACGAUUCCUUAUCGUCUUCCUUUGACAAAAGUGUGGGUAGCAUUGUCUCUAUAUCCUCCAACGACAUUUGAGUAGCAUCCCACUUUGCUUGCUGCGUCCGUUUUUAUCGUCACAUAAAAUGAAAUAGGCCAAGGUCAUUGCAGCCUUUCAUAUGUUUAUGAAUGCGAAAGAAGAUUCUUAAGAUUGUUAUGCAAUGAUCUGCGCAAGAGAUUGGUAUACCUUGAAAACAGAGGUGACUUUUUCGCACCAUGAGGUGUUUUUUUCCGACUGUGACUGUACCUUUUUACUUCUUUGCUUUUGAUUUUAUAUCAGUUGCCCUAACUGGAGCUUACAGUAUGUUGUUAGUUUCAUUCUUUGUGAUGAAGUCUUCCUUUAAUCAGGUAUUUAAAACAUUUCACCUGUAGCUUUGACAUCUGCAGUUGGAAAAUUUUCACUUUUUAAACCAUUUGUUGGUAUAAAGAACCAUUACUACGCAUAGAUUUUGGGAUGUGUAUUUUUGCUGUAAGGUGUUGUUAUAAAGAACCAUUAUUAUGCAUAUGUUUUGGAAUGUGUAUUUUUGAUGUAAGGUAAAUUAGGGUAUAUAGAGUUUCGAAUUUGUAUAUAUGGUAUUUGGUUAAUUACUGUGUAUGGUUUUCUUGAUUUGUAAGUUUGUAGGAUUAAUCGGGAAAAGUAUUAGCAAGGAAUGAGUUCUUUAGAUCUUUGUGGCCUGCGAAUUUCUCAAAGAAAAAGUUUACAGCUAAAGGCCGUCACUCAUCAGCUGCCUUGAUCAAGGCAGCUGGGAUUCAACUACGCCUUGAGUGUCGUCGCUGGAUUGAGUACCAUAAAUGUUUAUCCAGAUGUCUUAAUCUAUCGGACAGUAUUGUUGAAAUAUUAAAUACUGAAUGAGAAAGAAAAAAUUCUUUGUUUUACUGAUGUGUUGGGAUCAAAUUUUUUGCAAUAUCAUAGGUUCAGUGUGACAGGUGCCGAAAGAUUUAGUGUUUGCCGACGUGCAAAGCACGUGCACUCUACUUGUUUAUGUAAAAGUCUUAUGAUAUUAAUGAGGUUGAUGUUUUUUCACACAGAUCAUCGGCAAAAAGGUACCUGGUACGUGUUGCAGUUCAAGAUGCAUCCAGAUCUCCUAUGUUUGUUGCAGGCAUUCAGGACGAAAACAUGCUUGGAUUAUCAGCAGUUGAGCAGUCCUACUGGUCACUACUAUCAUUGAACUAUGAAAGCAACAGAGAGACAUUUGUAUCAAGUUAAAUAUUCUGCAUGACACUUAAAUUGUCACUAUUGUCACUCAUUGUUCCUGCGACGUUGCUCGGAACAACAUACGUAUUAUGCAUCAUAAUUUACUAUUCCAGAAAAUCCAAUGAAAAUCAGCUUCGUAGUUCUUUUGAAUUGAUUCAUCAUAUCUUCUAUCCUAGACUCAUACUCCAGGUACAUGGAUAAUUUAGAAAAAAGACAUAACCUUUGGUCAUGGAUCCAGGUAUGCGGUUGGUGCUGGAACGCAAGACAAGGCAGCAGCUGCCGAUUAUAGUAAAUCAUACUCCCUCCGUCCUAGUUUACUUGUCAAAAUUGAGUUUUUUUUUAACAAAAGUGUACCAAAAAAUUACUAUAUUUCCCACUAAAAUUAUCUAAUUAUCAAGAAAGAAAUAUAAACUAUGAUACAAAAACUUGUAUAUUAAACAAGUGAUUUGAAAGAUUGAUGGUGGAUGUCGAAGUAAUUUGAAUGUGUUUCAGGUUUUUGCAAAAUUCUAUUUUGACAAGCAAACUAAGACGGAUGGGAUAGGGAAUAGAUGUUAAAUGAGAGGCUGUAUGGAAAGCCAACUAAAUUCAUUACACAAUUGAGAUUUUAAACAACUAUGUGAUGUAACUAAUUAUUUAAUUAUACUGCUCCAGGCCAGAGGUAGUACAGAAGACUAAUAUACUUUAACAUGAAGUAAGGGGAAACUGUGGCGAUUAAGGAUUGGCUAUGCUUCCUAGGUAUAUAAGUCGUGGGAAAUCCCUAUCCAUUUCCCUUUUUUUUCUUUUUUUUUUUUGAUGGAAAAAGAAAUAUAUUAACGAAGCAAUAAAGAGUAUAAGAUUUACAAUAUCUUUUUUCUCAAAAAUAUUGGAUAUCACGCUUGAUUGAGAUAUCCUUAGAUGUAUUUGGGUUGAGGAAUUCCGCAUAUUCUUUGCCCGCGCUUCCUUAGCCACCUUGUUUGCAGCCGAGUUAUAUCUUCUGUUAAUAUAUAGCACCUGAG